rnacentral:rRNA from 1 species
UACGGAGGGUGCAAGCGUUAUCCGGAUUCACUGGGCUUAAAGGGUGCGUAGGUGGGCAGGUAAGUCAGUGGUGAAAUCUCCGGGCUUAACUCGGAAACUGCCAUUGAUACUAUCUGUCUUGAAUACCGUGGAGGUCAGCGGAAUAUGUCAUGUAGCGGUGAAAUGCUUAGAUAUGACAUAGAACACCAAUUGCGAAGGCAGCUGGCUACACGAAUAUUGACACUGAUGCACGAAAGCGUGGGGAUCAAACAGG